rnacentral:rRNA from 1 species
AGCUCCAGUAGCGUAUAUUAAAGUUGUUGCAGUUAAAAAGCUCGUAGUUGGAUUUCUGGCACGCUGCGCUUAGCCCGGUCACGUUUGUGUACUGUGUGCUGAUGCGCGGUUGCCAUCCUUCUAGAGAACGUUUCUACCACUUCACUGGGUCGGAUUCGCAAUCUAGAUCUUUUACUUUGAAAAAAUUAGAGUGUUUAAAGCAGGCAUUUGCUAUGAAUACAUUAGCAUGGAAUAAUAAUAUAGGACUGUGGUUCUAUUUUGUUGGUUUCUAGAACUGGAGUAAUGAUUGAUAGGGAUUGUUGGGGGUGCUUGUAUUUAAUGGCCAGAGGUGAAAUUCUUGGAUUCAUUAAAGACAAACUUAUGCGAAAGCAUUCACCAAGGAAGUCUUCUUUAAUCAAGA